rnacentral:rRNA from 1 species
UACGUAGGGGCAAGCGUUAUCCGGAUUUAUUGGGUUUAAAGGGUGCGUAGGCGGCUUUUUAAGUCAGCGGUGAAAUUUUGCAGCUUAACUGUAACAGUGCCGUUGAUACUGGGGAGCUAGGAUUUGGUUGCUGUGGGUGGAAUGUGUGGUGUAGCGGUGAAAUGCUUAGAGAUCACACAGAAUAUCGAUUGCGAAGGCAGCUCACAAAGCCAAGAUUGACGCUGAGGCACGAAAGUGUGGGGAUCAAACAGGAUUAGAUA